CGUAGGGGGCAAGCGUUGUCCGGAAUUAUUGGGCGUAAAGGGUGCGUAGGCGGCCGACUAAGUCAGAUGUGAAAUACCAGGGCUCAACCUUGGGGGUGCAUUUGAAACUGGUUGGCUUGAGUGCAGGAGAGGAAAGUGGAAUUCCUAGUGUAGCGGUGAAAUGCGUAGAGAUUAGGAGGAACACCAGUGGCGAAGGCGACUUUCUGGACUGUAACUGACGCUGAGGCACGAAAGCGUGGGGAGCAAACAGGAUUAGAUACCCUGGUAGUCCACGCCGUAAACGAUGGAUACUAGGUGUAGGGGGUAUCGACCCCCCUGUGACGCAGUUAACACAAUAAGUAUCCCGCCUGGGGAGUACGGCCGCAAGGUUG
rnacentral:rRNA from 1 species